rnacentral:rRNA from 1 species
CGGGGUGCAGCAGGCGCGAAAACUCUACAAUGCAGGCAACUGCGAUAGGGGGACAUCGAGUGGCAUCCACCUUGGGUGCCUGUCCAACCGUCUAAAAAACGGUUGUUAGCAAGGGCCGGGUAAGACCGGUGCCAGCCGCCGCGGUAAUACCGGCGGCUCGAGUGGUGGCCGAUAUUAUUGAGUCUAAAGGGUCCGUAGCCGGCUUUGCAAGUCCCCUGGGAAAUCCAGCGGCUUAACCGUUGGGCUUUCAUGGGAUACUACAUUGCUUGGGACUGGGAGAGGUAGGAGGUACUCGGGGGGUAGGGGUGAAAUCCUGUAAUCCUUCGGGGACCACCGGUGGCGAAGGCGUCCUACCAGAACAGGUCCGACGGUGAGGGACGAAAGCUAGGGGCACGAACCGGAUUAGAUACCCGGGUAGUCCUAGCCGUAAACGAUGCCCGCUAGGUGUCACGACGGUCGUGAAUCGUCGUGGUGCCGUAGGGAAGCCGCGAAGCGGGCCACUUGGGAAGUACGGCCGCAAGGCUGAAACUUAAAGGAAUUGGC